rnacentral:rRNA from 1 species
AUGGCUGCAGAUGGUGCCGCCGCCAUUGAGAUUCUUCGGGCGGAGCUAGCCCGGGCCAAGGAGCAGGCCCGAUUUAUUAAUGCGGCUGCCGAAAAGGCAUCGGCCGAGUUAAAGGCCGAACAGGCUGCUCGGCGCCAAGACGAGGAGAAAAUAUCCACGAUGGCGCUUGAACUAAAAAAUGCCGCUAGCCGCUGUGAAUUCCCCGAGAAGGAGAAUAAAGCCAAGACGACUGAUCUUGACAAGGCCUUGCGAGAGGCGAAAGAAGCGCGGUCUGAAUCCAGAGCGGCCCGUGAGGAGGUCCGACAAACUGGGGAGAUUGCGGCUGGUAAGCCCUUUUUAUUACAGACUAAGUUCGGCGAUCCAAAUUAUGCUUGGCUUAACCAAGUGUGGAGCUCUCCAGACGUGUUUUUGGACUUGCCGAAGAGCUCUUCUGAUGCGGCGCAGUUUUACCAAGUGCAAGAGGGAUAUGCAACGGAGAAGCUUUUCUGGUCACAGUUUAGUGCAUCAAAACGCCCUAUGUUGCUGAAUGAACAGAUGUCCCAAUGGGCCGAGCUUCAUAGGAUAUCCGGCGCUACCAUGAAGAACGUCAUAAUCCAGCUAUGGCCGACUGAGCCUAUUCCGAAUAGCUACUUUGGCUUGGUGCAGCGGCUUGCUGAUGCGGUGCCACGUAUCGACGCCGUUAAGCAGUCGGCGUGCAUUGAAGGUGCACGGAUGGCCUUUGCCCAUGUCAAGACAUACUGGGGGAAGAUGAAGGCCAUCGAUGUUGCGGUGAAGGGUCCACCCAAGGGCAAGGACCAUCACACACCAGAGAAUUAUUUUGAGGACGUCUUAGAGGCUGCCCGCUUGAUAGAGGGUCAACGUUCGAAAGACAUAAUAUUCGAGUGA